AAGUAGCAUUUAAUGCAAAAAUAGCCAAUAGGAAAGCAAUAGUCAUGUUUCUAAUCCUCCAAUCUACCAACAAAAGAAUUAUACCAUUUGAUCCCUUUAUCAACCAAAAAAUUGUACGCCUUAUAUACUGCUUUUGGGUAACCCUUCUCAACAACUAAGAGAUCCAUUCGCUGAACAAGGGGACUAGUUGAAGUACGGAUCCUCCCAAUAUUGGGAGGAUCCGUACUUCAAUUGAGCUAAUGACAAAUCAUUUCACCAUUUUAGUUGGAACUUUAGGCGGUUCUCGAAAAAAGAUAGCGAAAAAAAAUUAUUCCUAAGAGUUUGAGACUAAAAGGAAUGUAUAAACCAAUGCUUCCAUAGAUUCGAUCGUGGUUUACAAUUAUAGCUUCCAUACCUGUUUAUUUGGGAUCGUCUCCCGGAUAAAUAAAGAACAAGAGUCAAAGAAAAGGCAGUGAUUCAAAUCUAGAUUUAUCUGGUACCCCCCAUCUAAAAAUCACAAAAAGAAAAUAAAAAAGAAAAGUAACAAGUAACAAAACAUAUUGUAUCAGACUACUUGUCUUCUUGUAGUUGGAUCUCCAAGCUUUU
rnacentral:lncRNA from 1 species